AUGCGGGAACCUCUAUGAUACAGCAAGAAUGUAAUAUAGGUUAAGCAUCAAAGUUGAUAUGCUUCAACGUCAACGAGUAAAUUGACAUAAACAUGAGGGAAUAAUUGAAAGUCGCAAUCAAUGUUGCAUGUGAUACACUAUUGGAUAAUUUGAGAUUAUUUUUGCCAUAUAUGUGCCUACAUAUUAUAUGUAUAUUGAAUCAGCUAAUAAUUUUAUUAUUAAUUCGAAAUUAAUGCCACGCUAUAGAUCAAUAUACACUUUUGGUAAUUUUUUUAACUUGGAGAAAUUUUUAAUGAAGAAUUCUAAACUAAUUUCUCUUUCAAAUUCUUAGGUUUUAAAGAGAACUUUAUUUAUAUUAUUAUAUUAAGCAUUUAUCCAACUGCUGGACUCCACUAUAAUUAGUGAGUGUUUUGUCCAAGAUCUCCUAGUAUGGACUCUUCAGUAAGGCUCUCACCUAACAGACCUAUACCUUAGACAUAAUGAGAGAAGAGAGGAACUAUAAUUAGUGUCAGUGCAUCAAUCGGUAAUGUUAAUUGAUAUUAAAGAUCUUACUAUAUUAUGAAAGUUACUAUAAUACUACAGGCGAAUAAAAGGAAAAAGAUGAAACUGAUUGAUAAAUAGUAUAGUUGAAUUAAUUAAUAAUUGUUGUCUAGAAGUAUCGAAUGAGGAAACAUAGGUGGAUGCAACAUGUUGGUAGUGAGUAAAAAGACAAAUGACAUAUCGUUUGGUGAUGUAUAUGAGCAGUCAUCAAUACAAUUAGUGAAAUGACUUAACCUCAUAUAAUUUUUUUCAACAAUAUGACUGGGCCAACGUUCUGUAGUCCAUGAAACAACACUGAUUGUUAGCCAGCGAAGUCGUGAAGUUUUUGAUAUGCCGUAUGUCGAAAAGAGAAAGAUGCUUCUCGGAGAGGGAAUCAUAUCGCCUCGUUAUAUUAUGGCAGCGAUUCCAAACGAAACACAUCUCUGUUCAUAUUUUCGACUCCUGUUUCUUUCUGUCAUAGGUUAAUGUCAGAUUUCACACAUCUAAACCUUACUAGAGAAAUGCUCUUUAAAAUUGAGGAAAACCUCAUCAAAAUAUGUCCUAUAGUUCUUGAGAUUAGCUCGAACUCGGAACAUACAGACGCUUGCCGAGUACUUGAUUUUAUACUAUGUCUAGAUUGAAUACAAACGAAUAUUUAUUAUAUUCUCUCUCAUGCAACGUUUGUGUAGUGUACAUGAAGAGAAAAGCACUUCAGUUUGCACCCAAAACACGGUUUUAAGCAAUUGCUUCUUAACUUGCUGCGCUGCAUGUUUCUUUUUGUAGCGUACAAUUUCAAGGAAACCGUCGCUGUAUAAUUGGUCGCCUUGUACUUUAUAUCUGUCCACUUUAAUAGUUUUUUCUGCGCGAUGAGAUGCGCUAUAGGGGACAGUGUGUCCUCGCGUAGCAAUGUCGUUGUGUUAUGGUUUCCCCCUUGCUCUUUGAGAUCUCAAGCACAGUGAACCGUAGUUCCUGGUUUUGUCCACUAAAUCGUGCACUACCGGCGCUUAAGCUCUGAAAGCCCCUCUUUUGACGCUAGAGGGAUUCUACUUGCUACUGGGAAUCCUUCUGUAUCCCCUUGGGGAUAUGUAUUGCGCUCUGUUGAGAUGAGGGAAAUUGAGGAAACAAAAUCCAAUAAAAAUAAUUUCAUAAAAGGAUACGUAUGUAAGGAUAGUAACCCUAAGAAUUGGCCAUAAAAUGAUCUUAAUACGAACUACGAUUCCCUUUAGAUCUUGCAGUUAAGAUCACAGGACGAUCAUUCACCCGCACCUUCGCAGGAUAUGCUUCCAAAGCUGUAUUUUAUACCAGGAUGGAAACGCGAUAUUUGGAAACGCGACGUAGAUAAGUGGAAUGCCCUGUACAGAGACGCGUUUGCAUACACGCCGGUGUAUAUCUAGAUGCUACAUGCAUCUGCGCCCGUCCGUUGAACGUGCAUGCACGCGAGUUUAACGAGCGCAGCAAAGGCUGGCGCCAAACGGCGAUCCUAACAUCGGCCAACCGAUUCGCGAUCUCUGCCUUCUACGAUAAUCCUCUGCGAUGGCAUACUGUUGUCCGCUAUGGAAACGUGAUCGAGCAUGAUCGAGCCUCGUGCUUACAGCCUAUCCUAAUAGAUAUCAUAAUGAACGUACAAAGUCGGGCAAAUACUGGCGUUGCAUAGGUCUGGAGAAUGGGAAUAUUGUGAUAGUAUUUUUAAGGUCUAAAGGAAAUUUCUAUCGUUGGUACUGAAAAUGAUUUACAUAUACCUGAAAUUUUGAGAAAAACUGGCUAUUAUUAAAUACAGAAGUGACAGUAGAGAGAAGGAAACGGUACGUGUAAGGGGCCACGAGACUAUUUUUCACUCAUGAAUGAAGCGAUGCGAACGUAAAAGUACUUUAUCCAUCAUAUUCGUUAUCAAGGACAUGACAAUGCACAGAGUAUUUUUACCACAGAAUUUCCAGCUCUGAGAGUAUCCUACAAUCCCUAGUGUUCCAGCGCGUAUCACGAGUGGCUCUUUCGAAGAUUAUAAUUGUUACACACAAAACAAAUGUGACUCCUUGAAUAGCGCUGACUGAAUAAUUUUGAUAAGCCUAUAUAUGCAUAGAUAGGGCAAGCAACGCUUUGUAAGAAUGCGUUCUAAUCGUAAAUGCGUUCAGCAACCGGUGACCCAGAAUGUUAAUACUUUCUCCUUCCUUAAGUAUUCUUUUGUUCUUCGUUCAAAUGCACCUGUAUUGUUCCCGCAACACACAACUGUUCCGUGACAAAGCGAUAACGGGUCACGAAGGUUCCAAUACAAUGUUCAGAGGAGAAUACUACCUACAUAAGUAAACACGUACGAACAGUCGCUGGUGGACUAUCGAAUUGAACUCCGAAAAUAAAACGAUACGUGGCUAAGUAGGCUGGAAGAGAAAAUUUGUUUCUCCUCCUAUUUUUUUUUAAAGCUAUUCGAAACGUAACAUGUUCAAAAUGGAAAUAUAAUAGUGAUCAAUCAGCUACGUCAGAAUUAAAAUGAUUGAUGCGUUGGAUAUUUAAAGUCGUGUGUGGCAAAUAAUACUUUUUUUGGAAUAUGUUCAUCGAUAGAGAAUUUUGAUAUUAUAUAAUUUUAUGUAUAUUAGUGUUAUUAAUAGAUAGUAUAAUUCAAUAAUGCUACAAUGUUAUUAGUAAUAGUAUAAGAUACUUAAAGCUUUUUAGAAUCUUGGUAAGUAUAGAAUUUUAUGUCUAUGAUAGGCUUUCAAUUUUUAAAGUUUGGUAAACUUCAACAUUUAUCAAAAUUUGAAAAUUUCAAAUAUAAAUAUAGGUAUAAUGAAUGUAAAUAUAGUUCAAGUAUAGAUAGAUACGAUAUUCAUGAAGUCUAACUUCAAUAAUGUUUGAAAUGAAAAGAUUAUGUCCAUCUAAAAAUAGUUAAGUUACACAGAUUAAGGAACCUGUUACAAUUAUUAUAAAAAAAAAUUAAUUAUUAAAUAGCUGAUAGCACAGAUAACAAAAGAAUCUGUUUAGAAUUGCAAUAAGACAAAAUGGUCUUCGAAAUAAGAUCUUUAAUUAGAGAUAAAGUACUCGCGUGUAAUACAAAGCUCGUUCUAAGCUAAAUAGCGAAACGUAAUUAGAAAAAAAUUAUGCUUGUGGUAAUGGUACAUUAGAAUUGCUAUUUCAUUACAAUAAGGAACCUUGAGCCAUGAUGGUUAAGUAUUGAAACUAGAACGAUUGUUUCUUUUUUUUCUUUGGUAAGACUAACUCCAAUAAUCCCUUGAUUUACUGCAUCUUAUAAUCUUGUUAGUUAAUUAGCAUUUUCUUAUUUACAGCAUGUAUAGAGAAACAAAUUACGUAAACUUACGUAAAGAUAACAGGAUAUGAAGUGUAACAGGAUUAUCUUAUCGAAUGAAAAUAUAAAUUUGUUCAGCGAAGAAAUGAUAAAGCUAUAAUCGUGAAAGCGUAUGAAGACGGGAGAGAGAUGCAAUAAAACGCGAUUUUCUGAGAUGAUGUUGGGAAAAAAGCACGCAAGAUCGUGCGACCACAAUAUUACCACACUGUGGAGAUUACAUUCGAGCAGGGAGACACCAGAUCUUCAUCGAUGUCGUUGCGAAAUCUCUAAUCGAAGGAAGUCAUCAUAGACUUGAACCGUGCCGGAAGCCUUGGAAUUCGGAAGUCUAUGAAAUUUCAUCAAUAUAAUUUUUUACAUAUUAACAAUAUUUAGUUUUUUACGAAACUCUUCUAUCUUUCUUCAUAUAAGUUUUAAUAUUCCUUUUUCACUUACAUGACGUUCUUUAUGUAUUUAUAAAUAUGCAUCAUACAAUUUUUAUAUGUUUUUAAGUCUUUUUGAUAGAUAUUUUAAUUUAUCUUAAAACUUGUUUGUUAUAUCCUUUGGUAUAGAUAUUCCUAACUUCAUACAUUCCAUUUAUUGGGUUAGCAAUUAAGUGAUUACGGAUUUUAUCAUUAGGUGGUAUUGACGGUUUGUCAAUACUAUGAUAUAUUUUUUCUAAAAUUUGGAAUUCUGAAAUCUUGUAUAUAUUUUCAGAAAUUCACCUAAACGCUAGAAUUUCUAAUUAUUUAUUUAAGAAUUCAUUUGAAAAUUAAAAAAAAUUGUUUAAAUGCCAAUGUCUUCUUUGAUGCUACAAAAUUUCUCUUUGUAAAAUUUUCUAUCAUCAAUAUACACCAUUAAAAAGAAAUUUCCGCUCUGUAAGAAUUAUACUUCUACAUACAUACAUAACGUUAUCAAUUUAAGCUCUUAGAAAUACUACAAAAUACGGUCGCACGAAGUGUUCACCUAAUACCAGUAACCUUGGAUUAAAUCUAUUUUAGGUGGACAACGAAAACUCCUGUGUGCAACUUAAACCUUAUCGUCACAUAGCCAAUCACCUCCUCCUCGUGAUAUCUUAAUUCCACGGAAUUGAGAUUCGAGUCAAAUGCAACAAAGAUGACCAUCUCAGAUUAAAAUUUAUGCGCGUCUGACUUCUCGCGGACCAGCAGAAGAAAAUUCAUUGACCUUAUUACUGGAAUGGUGGUCAUUUGCAUGCAAGUAAAGGCAUGAAUAAAAUUACUGAUAUUUGUCAUAUACGAAAAUAUUAUAUGCUAAUCAUUCAUUGGAUUAUUUAUAACAAUUAUUAACAACGUGUUCAGUAUCGCGUGUUUCUCAUGUAAUUCAAACUUUUUAUUCAAGCUUUUGUUUUCAAUGCGUAUAACGUAAGUGGUGAUGUGAAUUACAUACGCAUAUAUGCAUAGUAAACGCGAUAUACUAAACACGACAUGCAUAGUAAAGCAAACUCAGCCUGUAAACAUCAAAACUACAUGUCAACAACUAAGUCAUAGAUCAUAUACUAGAAAAAUUAAAAUCAAAGGUACAUGAAAAAAUGUACAGCGCAAGGGGGAAAAGACUUUUAUGCAAAUAUUUUUCAAAAAAUUGCUCAAACCUCCAAAAAUGCACUGUUGUGAAUAUAUAAGUUAAACAAAAAUUAUGAAUCGGUUAUUUCUCAUUGUCAUAGUUCUAAUGUCAAUAUUUUAAUUGUACAUUCUUGCAUCUUAAUCUUCUUUUUCGAAAUGCAUAAAGAUCUGAAAUUUACAGAACUCUAUUUAUAGCUUACACGCAAAUUAUCGAAAUGGUAUCUAGCGAUUUAUAAAAUCAUUUGAAUAAUCAUACGCGUUAGCGUAUAAUUUGUAAUCUUGACUGAGGUUUCGAGUCCUUACCUUCUUAGUUUCUAUCGAUUCGCUCAGAUACCCGGGAACAUGUAACUGUUGACGAUUAAUUUGUUUUACAACAGUAUGUUGUGAAAGCCAGUAAAACAACUUACUCGAAUCCCCCAGAAGCCAGUAUCGUUGGAACAAUUUCGCGAAUUGUCUUGUCGGAAGUGGAGCAGCACGUUUAACGAUUAAUUUUCAUCAAAACGUUACGUGGAUCUUAAUGGCGACCGUUUAUGGUCAUUAUAUCAAAACGAUCUAACCAUGAUUGAUACCAGCACCAGCGAUGGCAGCUGUAUCUGAUUUGGACGUUCUUCUAAUAAGACCCGACAAAAUCAUCCUCUUGGACCCGGAUAAACAGGCCACGUUGGAUAUUCUCGCAUUAAUAUCAAUUUCUUCGAUGCCACGAUAUUCAGAGAAGAUAGCCAAAGUCGUCUUAUUGAUUCUUGUUCCUCUAGCGUUGACAUUUCUUGCUGGAGAUCAAUCCGAUUACGCCAAUAGUUGGAACAGCUUCUUCUUCACGAGAUGUCCUUAUGAAUCGGCUCUUAUGGUUGGUAGAUAGUUUGACGUCUGUAAAUGAACGGAUAAUGAAUGAAGAAAGCUUGUUAAAAAAGAUUUAACAAAUGGAACAAAUUUUUUAUUAUAGUUUUGCACAACAAUUAAUGAAGUAUUUAAUAGGUAUAAAUAGCUUGUUUGAAAGGUAAUGGUAUUGUCAGUACAGUGUAUAUUUCUUGCAAGUUAUCUCUAUCACUUUCUUUAAUUAAAUAAAUUUUCUGCAUACCAGGUUGGUAACGCUAAUUUUCUGCAUACCAGUUGAGCUCUUGGGAACAGAAGUAGAACCCAAGGAAGAUAGUAGGAAGGAAGACAGAAAAAGAAAACAGAAAGGAAUUAGGUCAUUCCUGUUCCAAUCCUGAAAUCAGCAAGUAUAAAGAUUGAAAAAUGGUUAUGAAGAGUAACGUGAACGAUAUUCCUUCAGCGAAACAGAAUCCACUAUUUUCAUUUCUAAAAACUAUUACCACUCGAUUGUUUAUCGAUAAAAAAAUCGCUGACGCCCUUGGGUUGAUUUGGAUGUUUCGCACGAUGCUCACGUAUUUCAUAUUUCCCUGCCUAUUUUUUGCAAACGUGACGAUUUUAAUUAACACUGAGACACUAAUGAAGCUUAAAUGACCCGUCAACUAAUUGCCGAUAUUUAUUAUCUUCGCAGGCAGGAAGCCAGAGAUUCAAACCUUUCUCUCGAGCCUGCGACGAGUGGUCGAUUUCACUGGUUUCCCUUCUGUCUCACGCGUUUGUUCAUGUUCUUCGCGUUAUGAAGCAUCAGUGAUCUACCACGAUGACCAGAAAUAAAAUUAUCGAUAAGAAAACAAAGAUGUCUUUCACCGUACUGUUUAAACAAGAUGGAUAUAAUAAAACAAAAUAUCUUCUUAUGUUCAAAAUCGUUGUAUGACCUUCGUUUUAUUGAUAUUAUAUUUUGUUUUCACGAUAUUAUAUUUUAUAUCUCAUUUUUAUAUGUCCAAUGGUACCGUAUUUAUAAUUGUCAUAAGAUAAUCGUUAUUAAUAUUAUGAAAUAAAAUUUUAUGCAAGCAUUAUCUUUCAUCUAAUAGUAAGAUU